GGGUCAGUAGGUUGGUCGUGCCACCGGUACGUACUGGUCUCACUGAUUCCUCCUUCCUGAAGAAUCGUAAUGCCAUUAAUUUGGUGUUGCGGGGAAACAGGACUGUUACUUUGAAGAAAUUAGAGUGUUUAAAGCAAGCUAACGCUUGAAUACAUUAGCAUGGAAUAAUGAAAUAGGACGAUCGAUCCUAUUUUGUUGGUUUCUAGGAUUGACGUA
rnacentral:rRNA from 1 species